AUGGAACUAGAAGAAACCAUCCUGCAUGAGAUAACCCAGUUACAAAAAGACAAACAUGAGAACAGAAGAAGUCUUUAAAACUCCUGGAACUGGAAUUUCAGACUGUUGUGAGACUCCACAGGGCUUUGAACUAUGGUCCUCUGAAUGAAUAAACGGUGCUCAUACCCACUUA